GGACUUCCCGUGUGGCUCACAACAUAACUACUCGGCGUUGCUUCUACGGCUAGGGGUCUAAUCGGAACUGUAGCCACCGGCCUACACCAGAGCCACAGCAACGCGGGAUCCGAUCCGCGUCUGCAACCUACACCACAGCUCACAGCACCACAGCUCACAGCAACGCCGGAUCGUUAACCCACUGAGCAGGGGCAGGGACCGAACCGGCAACCUCAUGGUUCCUAGUCGGAUUUGUUAACCACUGCGCCACGAUGGNUUUUUUUUUGUCUUUUUGCUAUUUCUUUGGGCCGCUCCCAAGGCAUAUGGAGGUUCCCAGGCCAGGGGUCGAAACGGAGCUGUAGCCACUGGCCUACGCCAGAGCCACAGCAACGCGGGAUCCGUAGAGACUUUCUAUACACUAGGAACAUUUGGAGCCUCUCAGGAGUAGGAAACCCCAUUUGCAGCAGCGUGGAAGAUCCAAAAUACUUUGCGAUCAAUUUAAGGAGAUAUUCAAAAACCUAUAGUAAUGAAUAUUUGAAAUGUACUCUACCUUAAUCAGAGUAACACUUAAGCAGUAUUAGAGUUGGUUCAAUGCCUCCAAUGAGUUCAUUACUUGUUAUAACAAGGUCUUUCAUACCCUUCCAAACAGGCCAAGAAUUUCAUGAGAAUUUUGGGGUAGGAAGGGGUCUUGUGUAAAAAUGAACAUUUGUAGUUGAUACUCUCUUUCUGAAUCUUCUUUGUCUAUGUAGUAUUAGGCAGGUCUUGUUUUCUUCUGCUUUCAUGAAGAUUUUUCCUUUGUGAAGUGUUCUGAAAGAAUUGUGUAUACUUGUCUGAUUGUCUGCUUUCAUCUUCUGAAUGUAAAUGCUGAUAAGACAAGGAAUUUGCUGGCUUUGCCACUACAACAGGACGAACACUUGGAUGAAUGAUAGAAUGAAUAAGAAAACUCCUGGGUAUAAUUCUCCUUUGCAGAUUACCACCUUUGGCUAACAGAGAAUGAGUUCAAAAUUCAGAUUAGAGGUCCUAUGAAUAAUAAUUAUGCCGUUUCUUUGUAAGGCAGUAUCUCCUGAGAUUGACCUUAGCAACUCCCAAUGCUGGGUGUGGGCCUCAUAUGUCACUAGGGCUCAGAUUGCACAAAUGACUCACCAAAAUCACAUAGACACCACACACACACACACACACACACCCCUACCCCUGAGGCCUCAAAUCAAGGUCUUUGUCUCCAGAAUAUAUAUGCCAAGAGGACACAUGCCUCUGUGUCCUAUCCGCCAGUAUACUCUGGAUAAAUAAUAUGCAUAUAUUUGUUGAAGAAAUAACUGAAGAAACUCCUGGAUACAAUUCUCUUUCUGGGACUAGGGCAAAUUCUAAAACAUAGCAGCUUCUAGCCUCUUGCCCUCUCUGGCUUGUCUGUUCUGGCAUCAGGAGAGGCCAGUGCUUUGCUCCUUCUCCCCUCCCCCCGACCCCUUCCCUGGAGCCUGGGUCCCCCAGCCUCUAGUCCAGGAGCUGCACCCUCAGCCCAGGCAGACUCUUCUCCCAGCUUCCGCCAAGGCUUCACAGGGACUAAGUUUCGGCUUCUUCAGCUUGGUGUCAGAAACCUGUUAGAAACUUGCAGAGUCUCAGCUCCCAGUGGGGCCGAACCAGAAGCCACAUUUGAGCACUGUCCCGGGGUCCCAUUAGCAUUUGAGGGCUCUGAGCUGCCUUUAUCAAGCAUUCCGAUUUCUAUUUUGCUGGGGAAAUACCUGGGCCUUGGGGCCCCAUCAGCCUACUGGUCCUCCUGAAGCACUGCGAUCUCUUACUGGCGGUUUUGAGAGCUGGCUUUGGAAAGAGAACCAACGUCAGGAUCCUGUGAGUCACCCACUUGGCAAACAUUUAUUAAGCACUUAUGAUGUGCAAGGCCCAUGACAGGUCCUGAGGACACAAACAUGAUUAACACAGUGUAUAUCUCCCCUGCUGAAAAAAGCAGAGACACAGACUCCAUAGGUUGAUAAUAAAUGCUAGUCAGAAAGAGCACUUCUGGUAACAAAGUGUGAUGAUGUUGAAUAGGGAUGCGGGUGUUUAGAAAGAGUGAUUCAGGAAGUUCUCGCAGAGGAGUAGGUGUUUUUUCUAAGUCCCAGAGGUGGAAUGAGGAGCCAGCUCUGUUCUGCAUUGCGUUGAAGUGGAGGAGAGGGUGGGGCAGGGUGAGCAAAUGAUUUUUCACCUGAGGAAAAACACAAGUAUGUAGACCCAGCCCCAGGAAAGACGACUUGCACUGGACGAAGGAGAGAGGUCUGCUUGUGGCUUGAGGGCACAAUGAAGAGGGAGAGACAAAAAAGAUGGAAUUCUCUGUCUUGGCACAACGGGAACCAGUCCAACUAGUAUCCAUGAGGAUGAGGGUUGGAUCCCUGGCCUUGCUUAGUGGAUCAGGGAUCUGGUGUUUCUGUGAGCUGCGGCUCAGAUUUGGUCCCUGGCCUGGGAACUUACCUGUGCUGAGGGUGCAGCCC
rnacentral:lncRNA from 1 species